rnacentral:sRNA from 1 species
CCGGCUGAGCUGGGGCUGUGUGGGGCUGGGGCUGGGUCCCGGGGACGAGGACACAGGACUGCCUGUGCCUGGGCGAGCUCGGCCUCAGUACCUCCCUCAGGGCCGGACACAGAGGCUCGGAGGCCACACGACCUGUCCAGGUAGCCAGGGAGAAGGCAGGGUGCCAGGCAGGCCUGUGGGUGCUCAGCAGCUGUCUUCCAGCGCACGCUGUCUCCCCCUCUGUCUCUGUCUCUGUCUCUCUGUCUCCCAGGCCUCAUGGAGGUCCUUCCGGAGCGCUGUGUGCAGAUCGCCAAGCGGGAGCUGCUCUUCCUGGGGCCCGUGGGCCUCAUCAUGUACCUCGGGGGCGUCUUCUUCAUCAACCGGCAGCGCUCUAGCACUGCCAUGACAGUGAUGGCCGACCUGGGCGAGCGCAUGGUCAGGGAGAACCUCAAAGUGUGGAUCUAUCCCGAGGGUACUCGCAACGACAAUGGGGACCUGCUGCCUUUUAAGAAGGGCGCCUUCUACCUGGCAGUCCAGGCACAGGUGCCCAUCGUCCCCGUGGUGUACUCCUCCUUCUCCUCCUUCUACAACACCAGGAAGAAGUUCUUCACUUCAGGAACAGUCACAGUGCAGGUGCUGGAAGCCAUCCCCACCAGCGGCCUCACUGUGGCGGACGUCCCUGCGCUCGUGGACACCUGCCACCGGGCCAUGAGGACCACCUUCCUCCACAUCUCCAAGACCCCCCAGGAGAACGGGGCCACUGCGGGGUCUGGCGUGCAGCCGGCCCAGUAGCCCAGACCACGGCAGGGCAUGACCUGGGGAGGGCAGGUGGAAG